GAUGAACGCUGGCUACAGGCUUAACACAUGCAAGUCGAGGGGAAACGACGGGGAAGCUUGCUUCCCCGGGCGUCGACCGGCGCACGGGUGAGUAACGCGUAUCCAACCUGCCUCUGACUGAGGGAUAACCCGUCGAAAGUCGGCCUAAUACCUCAUGACAUCGUCUGCGGGCAUCCAACGACGAUUAAAGAUUUCAUCGGUCAGGGAUGGGGAUGCGUCUGGUUAGCUUGUUGGCGGGGUAACGGCCCACCAAGGCUACGAUCAGUAGGGGUUCUGAGAGGAAGGUCCCCCACAUUGGAACUGAGACACGGUCCAAACUCCUACGGGAGGCAGCAGUGAGGAAUAUUGGUCAAUGGGCGGGAGCCUGAACCAGCCAAGUAGCGUGCAGGAUGACGGCCCUAUGGGUUGUAAACUGCUUUUAUGCGGGGAUAAAGUGAGGGACGUGUCCUUCAUUGCAGGUACCGCAUGAAUAAGGACCGGCUAAUUCCGUG
rnacentral:rRNA from 1 species